rnacentral:rRNA from 1 species
GAUGAACGCUAGCGGGAGGCCUAACACAUGCAAGCCGAGCGGUAUUGUUUCUUCGGAAAUGAGAGAGCGGCGUACGGGUGCGUAACACGUGUGCAACCUGCCUUUAUCUGGGGGAUAGCCUUUCGAAAGGAAGAUUAAUACUCCAUAAUAUAUUGAACGGCAUCGUUUAAUAUUGAAAGCUCCGGCGGAUAGAGAUGGGCACGGGCAAGAUUAGCUAGUUGGCGAGGUAACGGCUCACCAAGGCGAUGAUCUUUAGGGGGCCUGAGAGGGUGAUCCCCCACACUGGUACUGAGACACGGACCAGACUCCUACGGGAGACAGCAGUGAGGAAUAUUGGUCAAUGGGUGCAAGCCUGAACCAGCCAUCCCGCGUGAAGGACGACUGCCCUAUGGGUUGUAAACUUCUUUUGUAUAGGGAUAAACCUACCCUCGUGAGGGUAGCUGAAGGUACUAUACGAAUAAGCACCGGCUAACUCCGUGCCAGCCGCCGCCGUAA